AGGUACCUACGGGGCGCAGCAGUAGGGAAUCUUUCACAAUGGACGAAAGUCUGAUGGAGCAACGCCGCGUGAGUGAAGAAGGGUUUCGGCUCGUAAAGCUCUGUUGGUAGUGAAGAAAGAUAGAGGUAGUAACUGGCCUUUAUUUGACGGGAAUUACUUAGAAAGUCACGGCUAACUACGUGCCAGCAGCCGCGGUAAUACGUAGGGGGCAAGCGUUUUCCGGAUUUAUUGGG
rnacentral:rRNA from 1 species